GACGAACGCUGGCGGCGUGCUUAACACAUGCAAGUCGAACGGAAAGGCCCUACUUUUGUGGGGUGCUCGAGUGGCGAACGGGUGAGUAACACGUGAGUAACCUGCCCUUGACUUUGGGAUAACUUCAGGAAACUGGGGCUAAUACCGGAUAGGAGCUCCUGCUGCAUGGUGGGGGUUGGAAAGUUUCGGCGGUUGGGGAUGGACUCGCGGCUUAUCAGCUUGUUGGUGGGGUAGUGGCUUACCAAGGCUUUGACGGGUAGCCGGCCUGAGAGGGUGACCGGCCACAUUGGGACUGAGAUACGGCCCAGACUCCUACGGGAGGCAGCAGUGGGGAAUAUUGCACAAUGGGUGGAAGCCGGAUGCAGCAACGCCGUGGGCGGGAUGACGGCCUUCGGGUUGUAAACCGCUUUCGCUCAUGACGAAGCUUUGUGUGACGGUAGUGGGUAAAGAAGCACCGGCUAACUACGUG
rnacentral:rRNA from 1 species